UCGGCCGUCCGAGUUGUAAUCUAGAGAAGCGUCUUCCGCGCCGGACCGUGUACAAGUCUCCUGGAAGGGAGCAUCGUAGAGGGUGACAAUCCCGUCUCUGACACGGACCGCCGGCGCUAUGUGAUGCGCUCUCGACGAGUCGAGUUGUUUGGGAAUGCAGCUCAAAUCGGGUGGUAAACUCCAUCUAAAGCUAAAUACAGGCGAGAGACCGAUAGCGAACAAGUACCGUGAGGGAAAGAUGAAAAGAACUUUGGAAAGAGAGUUAAACAGUACGUGAAAUUGCUGGAAGGGAAACGCUUGACGUCAGUCGCGUCGUCCGGGGAUCAACCUUGCUUCUCGCUGGGCGUAUUUCCCGGUCGACGGGUCAGCAUCGAUUUCGAUCGUCGUAGAAGGACGGGAGCGAAUGUGGCACUCUACGGAGUGUGUUAUAGCCUCUCGUAUGGAUGCGACGGCCGGGAUCGAGGAACUCGGCACGACCCCUCGAGGGUUCGGGGCUUCGGUCCACGCGCGUGCCCAGGAUGCUGGCAUAAUGGCUUUAAGCGACCCGUCUUGAAACACGGACCAAGGAGUCUAACGUGCCUGCGAGUGUUUGGGUGCAAAACCCGAGCGCGCAACGAAAGUGAAAGUCGAGACCUCCGUCGUGGAGGGCACCGACGCCCGGACCGGAGCCUUUGGCGAUGGAUCUGCGGUAGAGCAUGUAUGUUGGGACCCGAAAGAUGGUGAACUAUGCCUGAAUAGGGCGAAGCCAGAGGAAACUCUGGUGGAGGCUCGUAGCGAUUCUGACGUGCAAAUCGAUCGUC
rnacentral:rRNA from 1 species